UAUCCAUUAUGGAAAAUUCAACAUUAAUAUUAUAAUAUUUAUUUAUAAAUCAUUAUAAAAAUAGUGUGCAAUUUUUCCAUAUAAGGACAUUGUAAUCUGUUAAUGUAAUAAAUAUUUAUCAUAAGAUUCAAUAAAUAAAAGUUUAUUCAAAUUAGUUAUUUUCCGAUUUCUAACAUAGAAUAAAUUUAAUUGAAUUUGAUAAAUCAUUGACAGAUUUAUUUAUAUAUAGUGCUUAAAUUCUUAAUUGAAUUUUACAAUAAUAUUUAAAUGUAUUUUCAUUUAUUUAUUUAUUGUAUGCACUUAUAUGAUUAACAAUGCUAUAGAUUCAGGAUACCUUCGGGACCCGUCUUGAAACACGGACCAAGGAGUCUAACAUAUGUGCAAGUCAUUGGGUAUUUUUAAUAAAACCCAAAGGCAUAAUUAACUUAACUGUUUUAUAUAUAUAUGGGAUUAGUUUAUAUUUUAUUAUGAAAUAUUAAUUCAAUCCCAGGGCGUUCUAUAUAGUUAUGUAUGAUAAUAUUUAUAUUAUUUAUGCCUCUAACUAGAGCGUACCUUGAGCAUAUAUGCUGUGACC
rnacentral:rRNA from 1 species